rnacentral:misc_RNA from 1 species
AGCAUCUAGUUGCAAGUCAAGAGCUUGUUCAACAAGAUGUACCAAUCUCUUUUCUGGAACCAUAACUGUUGGGGGAAGCAAUCUUUGCAAUUCCUCUAGUAGCUCUGUACGUGACUUUACUCUCGCUGUGCCUUGACCUGAUACCCCAGUAAGAACCUGCUGAGAAGGUGAUAUAAUGAAAAACGAAAGCUGAUGGACUCUAUCAUUGUUUAUGCAAAGAGGUGAGAUCUCGCCCCUCAGUGUCCUCAGAGCAUCCAUAACUUUUUCCUUGUGCAACAAUUCAAAAAACUUCUGCUCCAAUAUCACAAAAGAUGCCAACUUUACAAUUUUUUCAUCCACCAGACCAAUAUUUCGCAAUGUGUUUAAACUUUCAUCCCAUUUACCAUCAAGAAUUUGCUGCAUAAACAAAUUUACGACGGAAGUGUGCAAGGGUAUCCCUGACUCUUCCUCUAGUAAGGCCCGAGUCUUUUUGUAACCAAGAGAAUCUAAUGCCUCAGUUAUAAUCCGAACAAAUUCAACUUUCUUGACAACUCCUUUUGUACCAACAACCUCAUCGUCCCCUUGAAGAGUCAGGGGUCGAGCCAUCGAGUCACCCAAUGAACAACUUGCAGGAUCUCUAACAAAUGUCCUGUCAGAAAUAUCUACCAAUUGACUGGAGGAUACCUUCACACGUUUU